GCCGCGGUAAAACCAGCACCUCAAGUGGUCAGGAGGAUUAUUGGGCCUAAAGCAUCCGUAGCCUGUUCUAUAAGUUUGCGGUUAAAUCUAUACGCUCAACGUAUAGGCUGCCGUAAAUACUGUAGAACUAGGGAGUGGGAGAGGUAGACGGUACUCGAUAGGAAGGGGUAAAAUCCUUUGAUCUAUUGAUGACCACCUGUGGCGAAGGCGGUCUACCAGAACACGUUCGACGGUGAGGGAUGAAAGCUGGGGGAGCAAACCGGAUUAGAUACCCGGGUAGUCCCAGCUGUAAACGAUGCAGACUCGAUGAUGCAAUGGCAUAGAGCUAUUGCAGUAUCGCAGGGAAGCCGUUAAGUCUGCCGCCUGGGAAGUACGUACGCAAGUAUGAAACUUAAAGGAAUUGGCGGGGGAGCA
rnacentral:rRNA from 2 species